CAGUCGCCGCGGUAAUACGAAGGGGGCUAGCGUUGUUCGGAAUUACUGGGCGUAAAGCGCACGUAGGCGGAUAUUUAAGUCAGGGGUGAAAUCCCAGAGCUCAACUCUGGAACUGCCUUUGAUACUGGGUAUCUUGAGUAUGGAAGAGGUGAGUGGAAUUCCGAGUGUAGAGGUGAAAUUCGUAGAUAUUCGGAGGAACACCAGUGGCGAAGGCGGCUCACUGGUCCAUUACUGACGCUGAGGUGCGAAAGCGUGGGGAGCAAACAGGAUUAGAGACCCGCGUAGUCCCUGUCUCUUAUAC
rnacentral:rRNA from 1 species